GUGCCAGCCGCCGCGGUAAUACGGAGGAUCCGAGCGUUAUCCGGAUUUAUUGGGUUUAAAGGGAGCGUAGGCGGUGGAUCAAGUCAGCUGUGAAAUGUAGAUGCUCAACGUCUGCACUGCAGUUGAAACUGGUUCACUUGAGUGCGUAAGAGGUAGGCGGAAUUUAUGGUGUAGCGGUGAAAUGCUUAGAUAUCAUAAAGAACUCCGAUUGCGAAGGCAGCUUACUGGGCCGCAACUGACGCUGAAGCUCGAAGGUGCGGGUAUCGAACAGGAUUAGAUACCCUGGUAGUCC
rnacentral:rRNA from 1 species